rnacentral:rRNA from 1 species
CCUACGGGUGGCAGCAGUGAGGAAUAUUGGUCAAUGGACGAGAGUCUGAACCAGCCAUGCAGCGUGCAGGAUGACUGCCCUAUGAGUUGUAAACUUCUUUUAUACAGGGAUAAAACGAGACACGUGUGCCUUUUUGCAUGUACUUUAUGAAUAAGGAUCGGCUAACUCCGUGCCAGCAGCCGCGGUAAUACGGAGGAUUCGAGCGUUAUCCGGAUUUAUUGGGUUUAAAGGGGGCGUAGAUGGUUGGUUAAGUUAGUGGUGAAAGUCUGCGGCUCAACCGUAAAAUUGCAAUUGAUACUGGCAGUCUUGAGUACAGUUGAGGUAGGCGGAAUUCGUGGUGUAGCGGUGAAAUGCUUAGAGAUCACGAAGAACCCCGAUUGCGAAGGCAGCUUACUAAACUGUGACUGACAUUGAUGCUCGAAAGUGUGGGUAUCAAACAGGAUUAGAUACCCUGGUAGUC